GUAGGAUGAUAAAUUUGGAGAGAUGAGGUUAGCUUGUGGGCUGCCAUCUUUCUCUUUUCUUUCUGUCAUGAAUCCAGCAAUGGCCCCGAGAGGGGUUGUUCUGUUAGCCCUGUGUGAAGGUCAUUUGGAGGACGGACAAGCUGACC